AUUGAACGCUAGCGGCAGGCCUAACACAUGCAAGUCGAACGAGUGGCGGACGGGUGAGUAAUGUCUGGGAAACUGCCUGAUGGAGGGGGAUAACUACUGGAAACGGUAGCUAAUACCGCAUACCAUCGGAUGUGCCCCGAUGGGAUUAGCUAGUAGGUGGGGUAAAGGCUCACCUAGGCGACGAUCCCUAGCUGGUCUGAGCGGAUGACCAGCCACACUGGAACGGAGACACGGUCCAGAGUCCUACGGGAGGCAGCAGUGGGGAAUAUUGCACAAUGGGCGCAAGCCUGAUGCAGCCCUGCCGCGUGUAUGAAGAAGGCCUUCGGGUGGUAAAGUACUUUCAGCGGGGAGGCGUUACCCGCAGAAGAAGCACCGGCUAACUCCGUGCCAGCAGCCGCGGUAAUAC
rnacentral:rRNA from 1 species